GAGAGGAAGAAAACCACAAAGAAAGAGGCAUACAAAAAGUUUAAAAAAGCUGUAUAUAUAUAUAUAUACAGAGCUGGAGGUGAACCCAAACACUCAGAGGUAAUUUGCCUUGAGGAGCAAGAGCCCUUGAGACCUAUGUGUGGACUUUGGAAAAAAAGAAUCUGUGAACAAUAGUAAAGGAUAUGAACGUGCCAUCCUCUGACAGUGUUCCUGUUUGACUCUCUGCAUCACAUGCUGUUCUUGAGAUGUCCUCUGCAGCUCGUGUGGAUGUGGAGAGGUUUUGCUGGGUUCCAAAGAUACUGAACUGGUAACCCGAGAAGACCAGGCAUUUGUGGGUGCUGUCAAACUCUGGAAAUGGAAAGCACCAUUGUGUGAGGCACCCUCUGCUCGGCACGUUUCUAAUUUGUGGGGAGGAUGAAGUAAGUGAAACUAGUGAAAUGUGAGAAUAACUUUUCCUUUGACGUAUCUCCCAUGUCGCUACAGAAUGCUUCAGCUCUGUAAUCAUCACUAAGAUUUUUAGGAAGGUGGGGAAAGUGGGAUAAUACCAAAAUACAUAACGUGCAAAACCACAUAGAGAACAAGAAACGUAAAGGAAGACAACAGAUUCUUUUUGCAUGGAUGAAAUCAUGAGUUUCUCCCUGGGAUCUUCCACAGCUCCUUUGAUCAGUCUUCCCAGACCUCUCCCUGAAAUGUGCCAACAGAUCUGGUCCAAGUUAGUAAGACUGAUUGUCCAACAAAGGAAUUGCCUCAGGCCUCCAAGUUGUUUCUGAAAAGAGGUAUUGGAUCUGCCUCUUUGGAAUGGCAUCAUUAAGACCAAGCAGAGAGAGAAGAUGCUUCCCAUCCUUAAUACUGUGAAAUGCGCAGAGAUGCAGAUGAAUAUUUGCCAUGCCAGAACAUUUAUCAUCAGAUUCCAUUUCAACGGCACAGUGUGUACUUGUGGGUUGCAAGUGCAACACGCUUAGGGGAUACCAGACUUCUUUCUGCCAAGCUGAGACAGGCUGAAAACCACAUUGAAACACGGGAAAUUGCAGCUACCACAGAUGGCAGAUGAGGAUUGUUUGCAGGCUCCCCUGGCCCUCCCCUCGAGGUUGGUUACAGUUGGAUGAAGGUUAUGGACAGGGGCUGGCAAAGCAAAGAGUCACUGUGCUGCUGUGAGACUGGGAUGAAUGGACCUUGACAAUACUGCUGAAUAGGAGUGCUUGUGGAGCCGGUACAAACAAUCUGUAAUUGUCAGAGCUGAAAAGUAAAAACAUGAUUAUAAACUGCACACAGGAUCAGCUUAUGUCAGCUUUAAAUGAUUUAAAAGUCUAGUGUCUGGAGCCGCAUCUCACUUGCCUGUAAAACUCCUUAAAGAGGACUUACAUAACUGUACAAGCAUGUCUCUCCCUUCUUGUGUGUAUUGUGAAAACUAACCCUUUGUCUAGCACUCAGAAGACAGUUUUUAAGACCGAUAAAUCAGGAAACAGGGAUUUUCUUGAUUUAAAUGGAAGAGAUGCUUGCCUUGUCAGAGCAACACUUUUAGAAAGCCCUGGUUAUCCUUGCUCUGUGCGGGAAGGGCUCUCAGUAACCAGGUGUUGAUGCAGCCCUGGUUACCUGGCAGCUUUGGAACCUGGAUGGAUGUGACAUGACUUUCUAAAAGCAGCAAACUUCCCUGAGAAGAGGAGCACAAGAAAGCCUCUUCUGUUACCUAGAGCCAACCAUCAUUACGCCUGACCCUAGCUCAUUACCCCUCCAUGUCUGCAGCAGAUGGUGACCUUAGGUGGCACUGCACAACACUGAGCGAGGAGAUGCCUUCCUUGUGAUUGUGGUUCCUGAAUGCCAAACGCUGCAUCUUCUUCCCCACUCUGUGUCCGGUCUUCCUUUAUGCCAUCACACCCACAGAAAUUAAAGUACUACUGUGUACUGGUAAGCAACACUAUUACGUAGUGGGCUACAUUUCCAAUUUUGCCACAACUGCCUCUAUUUUCCCAUCACCCAGCAGUGUGGAGUAGAAUGGAAGCAACUAAUUUACCAUGUAAUAAGAUAGGGUCCUGUUGACACAAGUCAAGGGCAAAACUAUUAAGUCAUUAGGGCUAAUGUUGUUACAUUCUGAUACAAAGGCAGCCCAGGCCUUUCAGAUGUACAUCUGACCUCUGAGGAUUAAGUUUCUUCACAGCUUAUUGUUGGUACUGAAAAUGUCUUCCCCCCCCCCCCCCUUCUGCUUCAGAUACAUUGAUCUUUGGCCCUGUGCUACGUACAGCUUGCAGAUCUGCUUCUGAAGUCCCGAUUUGCCCCACUUUCAUCAGAAGUAAUAAUAGCAAAGGCAUCACAUCCUUAAUCAGCAAUGCUGGGAAUACAUCACAUUGCUUUUCUUAGCUCUUGGCCCAAGGGGUUGCAGGCAGAAGGGAGAAGAUAGAGGUGGCUCUCAGGAUUCUUGCACAAAGUAAGAAAAGUGAAGACUGCUCAAAUCAAUCAGUCUAGACGUCAUUUAAAGCUGUGUAAUAUGAACAUAUCUUGCUAUAGCCCUAUGUUAUUUUGGUAAAACAACUUUUUCUAAUCUAAUAGCUCAUUAGUCAGUUGACAAUUUCAAUCAUCGUAUCCUCCAGCACAGCAGCAAGACUGCACUUGUUCCACUGGCAUUGCACAGGCAAGAGAAAUGCAGGUGGACUCCAGAACUUGCCUUAUUGCCCUGGUUAAUAUCUCUCAGGAUUCAUUUUAUUAACGUCAACUUUGUAGACUUGUUUAGUUCUGAAAAUUUUGGCUUAAUGCUUUGCCUUUUAUGAGUCACUCUUUGAAAUAAAGAGAGAUGUUCUCACUUGGAGUACUUGGUUAGAUUGUUUCUCUGCUGCUCUGAAAGAUAACUGAUCUUCAGGUGAAAUCGUGGAACAGGUUAUACUGAUGUCCUUCAUGUGUGAUGAAACUUCCAAGGUGAAUGAAGAAACCCUAUCAAUGGACAUCCCAAGCUGUUGUAUAGAUAAUUUGUCUGAAACUCCUGACCAAAAUGUCACGUAUUCACAUACUGGCAUUAUUUCACGAGGAAGGCUCAUUUUAUAUGAUGUUUUUGUCUGAGACUGUAUUGAAUUUCAUUUGCAAGUUGUUUAUUACAAAGUUAUAAAGCUAUGUGAUAGCUUUAUGGCUCAUUUUAAAGAUGUGUAGGUAUUUGCUCUGUAUUGUAAUACCAUGAAGGCCAGUUUUCAAAAGUGCUCCAAAUGCACUUAAACUUGGAGUUUAAGUCCCUUUCACCUUAAAAAUGUGAGUGCAAUUAAAACUUGCAGGUCUGGCCUAUUAAAAAUACGUCAUUCAGCCUCUCUGUUGUUCAGAAUGGGGAGGGGAGUGUAUGGGUAUUCUGUAAUGCAGCCACUUCUAAAAAUAUAUCUGAACCUAUCUAAGCAUAUCUUGCUUAUAAGUGUACCUUGUCCUUUUGAACUACUGGAAGAAGUUCACUCUCUGAAGGAGGAAUUGGCUGUUCUAAAAAGGACAGCUGGGAAGCAAGGCAUCCAGUGAGCUUGUGGCAAGCUGUGGAAUGCUAUAUUUCAUGAAUAUCUCUUUUAAUUUAUUUUUUUUUUGUUCCGUGAUUUUAAAUACAAUGGUGAUGGGAAAAUGCUGCAUUUCAUGAAUUUCUGCUUUAUUUUUUUUUGUGUGUUUUUGAGGCUUUAAAUACAGUGUUGACUGGGAAAGGGAAGUUGCACUGAGAAAAAUUUUGCUCUUCAAACUGUACGUGCCAAGGUAGGUCUCGAACGGAUGCUCAUGGCUGAAUUAAUAAACUCUGACUGCAGAGGUUUAGAACAAGAAUUCUGACAGACUCUUCACAUGACAAUACUAGUGGGAGUCACAGUAAUAUCAUCUGCUGCUGAACAUUGCGAGCACGUGAGUACUGUUGUGCCAAAGGUUAAUAUGCCAGUUUUAUUUCCUUCUCUCUACAGCUAUAAUUUAAACGAGUUGCACACAUAAGUGAUGUUAUAUGCAUAGGGGUUUGCAUUAAGUUUGCUAUGUCAGAUUUGUUUAUAAAAAUCAUAUUUUGAAACACUUGCCCAGGGGCUCCGUUCUGGGGAGCUGCAAGCUGAUUCCUUUUAAAGAGGCAGCUUUCAUUUUCCAUGAACUUUCAGUGGAGAUUUUGGAGCUCUGAGCAGGGAGCUCUGUUUUAAAAUUAGCACUUGCCCAGGUUUACAAUUGGGUUUAACUACAAAGCAAGAGAGAGUUUAAUCUUGUUUUACAUGUGUGCCGUGUGACCCUUCCCAUACCUUACAGGUAUUGGAAGGGCCCCUUGUCUCUCCUGGGGAAAAUUGCUUCCCAACAUUUUGGAGGCCGUUUACAAUGUUUUUGUUCCUAUACUGCAAUGUUAACGUUGCCCAUAAACCUAAUAGUCACACAGUAGUUAAUAAGGGGCAGAAAGUUUUAUAGUCUUUUCCGCAGUUGUUAAAAGCCUGCUACUGUAAUUUGGUCCUGACCAUGCAAACCAUGCAACAACAUUGGUUGUUGUGAAAAAUAAGGGGCCCUAUUUUGGUGUUUUCUUGGAAACCAGUGGGAAAGAGAACCUCUCCUUAGCAUCUAGCUGAAUGUAAUGAAUUUGAGGGUUAUUGAAAUUGCUUGGUUUGUAAUAUAAACACUCGAGGGCUUGCCAGCAGUGUACCUUCAGGAUGUAUGGCUAUUCUAGAAAAAGAAAAUCAUUUUUUAUUUCUGUUAAGAACCCAUUGUAAUUAGUGGCACUAUCUGGCAAUGGAUGCUUUAUCAAAUUGCCUUUCAGUUACAGGAAAUAGGAUCCAUUAAUGAUCUUGCAAGCAUAUUUUUAGUCAGAGUCAGCAAGAAUCAUUUUCUAGCUGUCUUUCUAUGUUAUGUAAACUAAGAGCAUUUUCAAGGUCUCAGCUGCACUAACCUGUGUGCCAUUCAGAACAAUUUUUACCUUCUCCAGCUAGAAGCAACCACACUAGUGGAAAUAAGGUACUUCUCAAUGUAAGAUUUCUAGAAUCAAACCUGCACUGAAGAUGGCUCAAAUGUAGUUAUGUUUGGACUUUGAGUACCUGUUGGGUCCACACUUAUUACAGUUCCUCAACACAUCAGCAGGAUGUAGGAGAGGUUGGAUGUGGGACAAAGUGGUGGCUGAAGGGUUGCCAGACAAGACCCAAUUUGAAAAGGAACUGUUCUUUACAAAUUUCUCCAAGGGAAGUUUCCACAACUCAGCCUCUGCUAAUAGCUAAUCAGUUACUAACUAAGGAUAUUUAUCUCCUGUACCUGUUCUAGUCAUGUGUGGAAAACUUGGAUAGCAAUUAUUACACAGCAGUGAAGAGUGGUAAGGGAAAGGAAUAAGGAAAAGAUCAUUUGCUUCUAAAUCAGAAUAUUGUGAACAUCACGAGCUCUCAAGUGCAGUGAUAUUGCAUGCUAUCUGAAAGGGGAGGGUUCUAAUUAUUUGGCUGGUGUAAGUCUACUUCAGUGCUUAAGAUGCUGUGAUUUCCUUUGGAUGCAAUCUUAACACCUGUGUUCCUGGGAUUACAGUGAUAAGUUUUGAGCCAUCUGCAGCAUUUCUAAAAUGCUUUUUGCCUCUGAUUAACAGUGAAUACUUUGAGCACAUGAAUUACAAUGCAGUGAGUACAUAAACCACUACACUGAUCUCCAUUGCCCUAUCUGAGAAGGGGGCUGUGGGCUGCAGUGAAUGAGCUUGGUUGGGUUUUCCACCCUCUGAAAAUGGAGUCAUUGGCUCAAUGCUGAAUUUAAUGGGAGUUUUGAAUGCAGUGAAUGGAUAAUUUAGCAAUGACAGAAGUAGAGGGUGUGCUGUUUGUGAUGGGUGGGCACUUCAAUGAGAAAUCUCCAUGAACACAGACAAAGCUCCACACUUAUGUGCAUUGGGACCCAAAUUCAACACAAUUACAUUGCUACCGUGCUAUAAUAGAAGUCUAAAAAGGAAAUGGUAUUAUUUGCUCAGUAAUUUCUGACCCGUUGCAUGAUUACACUACUGGAUUCAUUCUGAAACACAUAUAUGGGAGUACACUCAUAAUUAAACAUCUAAAAAUACAGCACUGCCAUUUCUGGGUUGGUUUCUUAAGAGUGGUUGCAUAAAACUCUAUCAGGAUACUUAAUACACUGUACCAUGCUCUUUUUGGGCUGAACUGUUACUGGGAAAAAUGAAUUCAGCGUUGCAAUGGUUGCAGUGCCUUCCAGCUUCAGCACACUGAGUUCUCUGAACAGAGUAUCAAAAAUUCCCAUCUCUGGCAGGCUUGAUGCUGGCAGGGUGGGAAGUGGAAGCAGCUCAAGCAGCUCCCUGUGACUGACCCUUCCCACAGUGCCUGGCUUCCUUGCAUCUCAGGGUUCAGCGCGCCUGUUCUGCUGCCAGAUGUUUUCUGCUUUACUAAGUGGGUAAGCUAGAAAAUCCUGUGUCAUCCUGAACAAGCUAUGGGGGGGAUGGAGAGGGAGCUCCUUCCACAAAAUGCUCUUGGGACUAAGUGCAACCCUCUGGCUUAGGUUUGCCCCCAAGGUACCGUCUGGCUCAGCACACUAGCUCCUGUCAAGAAGUCAAACGUUGCUCUGGAAAACAAACUUGUCUUCAUGCGGACGAAGAUGCUAUUUAAUGUGAUGCUGUUUAGCUAGGCACCGUGCAUGGAAACUGAAGCUCUGUUGUUAGCCCCGUUUCACAGACAAGAAACUGUACCUAAAUGAUACCUCAAAACUGUGGCAAAGCUGAGAAUAGAAUCCAAGUUUAAUUCCAUAGAUACUCAGCUUUCUGGGCUUUGAAAAGAGAUGUCAUACUACAAGGAAGUACUUCAGCAUCCUUUUUGUUUGAAGAUGUUUCCAAACAUUUUUCCUUAUAUUUGCCUCUCAAAAGUGUUGUUUCACAUUCAUGUUCCUGUUCCAUCAAGUUUCUUUCCUUUUCUCAGCUGCAAUCAUUAACAGCUGGUUUCUCAUAGGAAGAUACAAGCUGUCACGAUCCCUUGCCAAUCACAUGAGAACUGACCUAGGGAGAACAUCAACCGAAGACAGGAAAUGAGCAUUCCUGCAUGAAUAGGACGUGCAGGCAACUUGAACUCACAAGAAAGAAGUCAUAAAGUGUACUACUCUCUAUAAAAAGGGGAAGACUUGUGGAAAAGACACCAUUUUUGUGCCUGGCUCAGUGAAAGCUAGAAAGCAAAUCUCUUCACACUCCUUGAGAGAGAAGGUUGUGUCCAGACUUGAAAAUUAAGAGUUAGAAAGUCCCUCGGUCUGUCUGAGCUUUACACUGGGAGGAAAAUGAGCUGCCGGAGCAGAGGAUGAAUGUUGUCUUGGGUCGCCAUCAAGAUCUUGACCUGCCUAACUGAUGUGACUCAGGGAAAGAGGCUACUGGCAUCUCUGGUGCUAUUCCCUUUUCCCAUCCUGAGCGUGCACGGAGCCAUUCCCAGCCAAUUGGAGCUCUUCCACAAGAUGGUGCCGAGCACCGUCGCUCACAAGUGGUGCACAAUUGAAAUACUGCACACUUCCUCCCAGGGAAGGAAGAGGUAAGCCAAGAAAACAGGCCGUGAUAGUCAGAGAUAUUUAAUAUACAAAUAAGAAAUUGUUUCAUAAGUAUCUUAUAAAAGCUCCAAUUUACUUCCCAAUAUUUUAGCAGAUUAUCUCAACGAAAACAGCAGAUGUAUUUUGGAGCGACGAGACAAAUGUUUAGUGAAAUUAAAGUUAUUCAUGUGCAGUCACACAGGGAAUAUUUGCAUGAUAUUUUACUAAUUGCUCCAAAAUCUGACUUGUAGCAAAUAAACAGAGGAAAAAAAAUAAGCCAGUGGAAAGAUUAGCCCCAGGCUUCUCUGCCUCUCUUCUAAGUCCUCACAGCCUUUCUUCAACUGCUCAACUUUUUUUCUCUGGAAGCACAAUGUUAUUUCCCAGGGUCCAAUCACUCUUCUCAGGCCCUCUGGAUUUUCCCCCGCUACCUAAAUCUCUUCCCAAAGGGUCCUAUUUUCAUCUUCCCUUUGAGCCCAAAUUUCCAGUUUCUGAGUGAAAGGCAUCCACUGCUGAGCUGGCGUGAGGGAGAAUUUUCUUAAGUGCAGGGAAAACACUGCUAUUUCAUCUAACACAUUCGUGUAGGAUUAGCAAUGCAGAAAAAACUAAUGCCAAAGCAGUGGAGCGCUCAUUGCAGCCAGGAGCUCAGACUGGAGUUCCUUCAGCCUUCUGUGAAGAGUUUCAAGUUACGGCAGCAAAAAUCAAGUUGUCAUUGCUGCUUGUUAUGACAUUAUUUUAUGUCAGAUCUGUUUAUUUGCCCUCCUGGAAAAAGAGAAUGUAUUUCAAGACGUCAAAAUAUUUUGUUUGCCUUCAUUCAGUUGCAAGAGAAGCCUUAGGUGAGGUAGGAAAAUGUGCGUUUAUCACAUUUUGAUGUGAUGUAUACAACUAUGUAUUUGUAUAUGCUCUAUACUCCCAAACUGAAGGAGUGCUGAGGAUGCCAGACAACAAGUUCUGGAAAAUUAGCCAAGGUCAGAAUUAAAAUUGACAUGUCCUAUAUAGAAUCUUUAUGGACUGCGGGAGCACGUGAGCAGCUCACUGGGGGUGUCAAGCCGCCCUCAGUUUCACAGAAGCACUGCUUUUUGCCCAAGGUGUGGAGUGUCUAGCAAUGGUGGGUGCUUGUUGGCUUCUUCCUAUCAGUCACUGUAGGUGGAUAUGAAUUUUUUUUUGGAUGAUCUCUAGAGCUACGGCUCAAGAGUUGUUGUCCAUAGAGGAGCAGGGGCUCCAAGCUGCCAUUCCUCACAACUGUUACAUUCUGGUUUGGCUGAGGCCCAUCAGUUCCUGGUGUACUACCUGUGCUGCACACCUCCUGGCUCAUUCCACGUGGGUAUGCAGAAACCUUCUUCUGCUGGUCGUGAGGGGAGGUGAAUGGGGAGUGUUGAGCUUUAGACAUGGGUUAGUGCCAAGGAGUCCAUAAAUCGUCGGAUCAGCCAUAUAUCCAAAUGGUUCCUCAAGUACAGUAGUUCCACAGGAUCAGUUCCCUUCUAACCUGAUCUUUUAUGUUUUAACUUGCAGUAACGCAAAAGUUGACUACUGCAUGUUCUGAACAAAAAGGUAAAACCAAAGGGGAAAACAGCUGUUGUUGUUAUGGUUCUCUUUUUCUUUAAAGAGGGGUUUUCUAUUUCUGAUGGUUACAUGUUGAACUCACUUUAUUUGGCCCCUCCCAUUUUCAGGUCACCACAGGAAUAUGUAAAAAGGAAAUGUUUUAUUUUAACAGAGUUGAACAAAGUACACAAAACACACCCUUCCCAUUGCCUGACAUUCCUCAAGUUAAAUUGCACAGCCCAGCAUAACUUUUCCUCUUGGUCUUCUAUUUCAUUGAAAAGGGCCCAAAAUGUAAUAUUCAUGCAGGAAGCAUAAAUUGUAUUGCUGGAAGCAAUAGCAACCUCGAAGCAAAAUCCCUCAGGAUCACUGUGCUCAGGAGCAUGCAGGCUGCUCCUGGACCAACAAGUUUCCUCAGUGCCGUGCUUGUGUCUUUGCACAGUCUAAGCUAUAGGAUUUCUUUGCUGCAUGGUUUUCCUGGCAUUUUGGCCCUUGUGGACAGCUCUUGGUCUCAGGAGUAGCUGCUAGACUCUUGCCCAACCAUCCCACUCUGGGCCAUCCCUUUCAGUAUGCAUGAGUAACUCCCACGAAUGUAAAUAAAAGUUAUGUGCACGCAUCAAGGGGAAAUGGAUCCAUUUGUCAUGGCUCCAGACAAGCAGCAUCUCCCCAAGGAGCUACUUAUGAGGCUAUUGAGAAGCCAGCAGUAACGCGUGAUAGGCUGCACCUUCUUCCAUGUGUGUUGCAGAAAUUAUUGGCAUGUUGCUGAUGUUUACGGCGAACAAAUAGUUUAUUUCUGGGCUAAGAAAGAUUCCAGUGUAAAUACUCAACUGGCAGCUAGCUGGAAGUUUGCCACUUGAAGCUAAAAGGCCCAUGACCAAUGGUGUCAGAUUAACAUUUCCAAGUUGGACAAUGUACAAAUGGUGUUCUUGGACUGGAAUAGAAAUAGAUGAAAGUGGUCUGCUGCAGUGCAAAUAACAAACUGGCAACCAGCUGGUCAUUGGAAAGAGAACAUACUAUGGGAAUAUGCUUUCUGCAGAAAUACUUUAUUUUGGAGAUAAGCAUUAACAAUAAGAAGAUGAGGCUCAUUUAACAAGAACCAUAUGGUCUCAUCCUGCUUUUAUUUCACUCAGUAGCAAAGCUCUGAUGAUCUUUUGUGUGUGCAAGAUAGGGGUUGCUGUUUAUAAAUAAGCAAAACAGAUUCAAGGUAGUUGUUCGAAAUUAAAAAGAAACAGUAAUGCCUGAUCUACUGUUCCUUUUUAAAAGGUAUGAAAGGGAUAGUUUUAAUCCACAAAAUGCUAUUUCAGGAGACUGUAAGUGAAAGGAAGUGGGAUUAAAGGUAUUUGUUGGAAAACAACUUCUGAUAAAAUCAGGCGAAGAUCCACUCAAGAUUGAGUUAUCGACCAGUGUGAAACCAAUACACAAAUUUCUCCAAGCUGAUUUGUGUCUGGGUUCAUUCCAUAAAAAUGUUUGUAUUUUUGUGGUGAGGAAACAACACCCUUUUUUAAAGUAGUUUUAACUACACAAUUUGUUCUAUUAGCAACUUAAUCAGAGGUAACAGCAUUUCACACUCCUGUUUCAAUGUAAUAGCAAAAUUGAGUGAUGCAAAAAGAAAAAGCAAUCUGUGGGAACUGCACUGGAAAAUCCUGCUUUGGGAGCUUUUCAAGGAUGUAAAACAUUGUCUAGAGCUUUUUACUUUUAUGGGUAGGAAGUAAAAAAGAAGCAAAGAGGGGAAAUCUCAUUCGUACCACAGUUGAAAGUUGCAGUAAAAAUGAUAAAACUCAUCACAGCAAACUAAUUUUUAUUUCAUUUUAUUUUUUUACAGCAGCUGAACUUUGUUGUUUUGGUUGCAAGAAGGCAGCUUCAUUUAUCGUAAAGAAAAAAAUUAAGAUUUGAACAUGGAAAAAGUAUGCAGAUCUUGUACUCAGCAAAUCACUUCUCCCUUUGGAGAUAAGUACUAAUCCCAUUGAUUUCCGUAUGCUUGAAGACAACUCAGCAAUAUCAAAAUGGCAUUAUAUUACAUAUUUAGAUAUGUUACAGAAAUGCUGAGUCAUGGUCUGAAGCAGUGAUUGAGCAACUUGUGAGAAGGCAGGGCCAACCCAGGGGAACUCAAGUGUACGCAAUGUACGUGAGCGACCAGAAGGUGUGGAGCCAGACCUUAUUUAAGGGUUAGUAGUGAAGACAAGGGGGUUUUGUUGGAGAUCCCUAUGUACUUGAGGUCUUCUGAAGGUAAGCAGAUUCUUUCCUUUGUUUUGUGUCUGUUGCUGUUGCAUUUGAGCAUGUCCUUACUUGCUCCACCCUAAGACUUCACUACUAUGCUCUCAUUGUCCUUGCUUUAUUUUCCAUUGCAUUACAGCAUUAUGAGAUGUGAUGCAUUUCUAACUGGUUUUGCUGCCAAAGGUUAUGAGUUUUUCUUU